GUCAGGAUGGCCGAGUGGUCUAAGGCGCCAGACUCAAAAAUUGGAGGCGUGGGUUCAAAUCCCACUCCUGACA